CCUACGGGAGGCAGCAGUGGGGAAUAUUGCACAAUGGGCGAAAGCCUGAUGCAGCGACGCCGCGUGAGGGAUGACGGCCUUCGGGUUGUAAACCUCUUUCAGCAGGGAAGAAGCGGGAGUGACGGUACCUGCAGAAGAAGCGCCGGCUAACUACGUGCCAGCAGCCGCGGUAAUACGUAGGGCGCAAGCGUUGUCCGGAAUUAUUGGGCGUAAAGAGCUCGUAGGCGGCUUGUCACGUCGGGUGUGAAAGCCCGGGGCUUAACCCCGGGUCUGCAUUCGAUACGGGCUAGCUAGAGUGUGGUAGGGGAGAUCGGAAUUCCUGGUGUAGCGGUGAAAUGCGCAGAUAUCAGGAGGAACACCGGUGGCGAAGGCGGAUCUCUGGGCCAUUACUGACGCUGAGGAGCGAAAGCGUGGGGAGCGAACAGGAUUAGAUACCCUGGUAGUCCACGCCGUAAACGGUGGGAACUAGGUGUUGGCGACAUUCCACGUCGUCGGUGCCGCAGCUAACGCAUUAAGUUCCCCGCCUGGGGAGUACGGCCGCAAGGCUAAAACUCAAAUGAAUUGACGG
rnacentral:rRNA from 1 species